AAACGUAGGUGGCGAGCGUUAUCCGGAAUUACUGGGCGUAAAGGGCGCGCAGGCGGGCGGGAAAGUCUCUUGUGAAAUCCCACGGCUCAACCGUGGAAUUGCGGGAGAUACUACUCGUCUUGAGUCCGGGAGAGGAGUGUGGAAUUCCCAGUGUAGCGGUGAAAUGCGUAGAUAUUGGGAGGAACACCGGUGGCGAAGGCGGCACUCUGGACCGGUACUGACGCUGAGGCGCGAAAGCUAGGGGAGCAAACGGGAUUAGAAACCCCAGUAGUCC
rnacentral:rRNA from 1 species